rnacentral:pre_miRNA from 1 species
UAGCAGCACAUCAUGGUUUGCAUGCUCUAGCAAAAAUGCGAAUCAUUAUUUGCUGCUUUG